AAAAGAUCGCAUUACAGGGAACUCGAGUCUUAUUGCUUUCUAGAUUCAGAUACAGAAUCAUCAUGUCCAAAGCGGGUCAGACAAUUCAACAGUAGCUUACAUCAACAAGCAAGGUCGGCUGGUUUAGAAAAAUCUAUGCUCACAGAUCAUGAGAUGGUCCGAAUGUCAACUUCUGUCAAUAUUGGCAGUGCAUAUAAAAGGAGAAUUAAACAUCCUAGCAGAUGCCCUCAAUCGUCAGCAUUUAAAACAAGCUGAUUGGUCUUUCAGUUCAGAUAUUCGGUCAAAUAACAGAAAAGAUUGGUUUUCCAGAUAUAGACCUUAUGGAUCCAAGAGCAAACCGGAAAAUUAAAAGAUUUGCUUCUCUGAACCUGUCACACUGAGCAGAGGUCAUAGACUCCCUAUUCAAUGGAAUUUCAAUCUGGCAUAUAUUUUUCAGACAAUUCCACUAAGCCCAAGGAUUCUACAGAAGAUCAGAAAAAGAAGUAGUAAAGUUUAUUAUAAUUCUGCCCUGGUGGCCAAGAAGGAGUUUGUUUUCCACUCUCGUACAUGUCCCCAAUUCAACCUAUUGGAAACUACCUCUAUCCUUGGAUAUGCUGGAACACUCUAUGGGUACCUCUUCAAACUCUAAAGAAAAUCAACCUGACGUCGGGGGCGGAGCCAAGCAGGGAACCUGAGCAGACGCACGCUUGCUGGGCUCCGAUCAGAAAGGCCACAAAACAUUUUUUGCUGGCAGUAUAGCCCGAAAAACGGUAUAUUGUUAUAGCAACCUACCAUGGGUCGUAAGCCUAAAAAGGCUAUGGGCCCAAGAUGGCCGCUAACAGCGACGGCUACACCGAAUCAUCCGAGGAGAUACUGCAGAGCAGGGGGGCGGCAGACCUACUACCUCCACUUCAAUCACUCCCGCUCCCACGGGGCUCGGGCCAAACACCUGUAACGGCUGCCACACUGAAGGAGAUGCUGAAUGAUCUCCAGAAGACCUUAUAGGCAGAUAUGGCCGCACUCCGGGCCGACCUCACGGGCAUGACCGGGUGCCUGACUACACUGGAGACAACCUCUGAAAGCCAGGCACAGAAAAUAGCAGCUCUGGAAACAGAGGUGCACGACAUGAAAUUACAACCUGCCAUACUAGCGCAACGCUUCGCACAGACAGAGGACGCCAGACGCCGCACUAACCAAGGUACGCGAGCUAUCGGAAAAGAUCCCGACUGCAGAACUUCCACACCUCAUGAGACGGCUGGUGGAGUCCUUUCUGUCGUCUAAAUAAGCGAAGGGGGUCACUUUCGAAGGCAUAUUCCAGGUCCCAUAGCCACAGGGGCACCAAUGUCAGCCACUAGAGAUGUAGUGGCACAAUUCCGCAACCUCAGGGACAAAAUGGCGGUACAGGCAGCACUGAAGGUAGCCUCGCCGCUCCUCUUUGAAAACAUGAAGCUCUCCUAUGCCGAUCUCAUGGAGGAUACCAUGCAAUGGAGGAGAUCCCUGCAACCUCUCACGGCACAGCUCAGAGCCAAAAGGAUCAACUACCGAUAGAAGUCACC